GGCGCCAUCGUCUAGUGGUUAGGACACCACGCUUUCAAUGUGGUAACCGGGGUUCGAUCCCCCGUGGCGCUA
rnacentral:tRNA from 1 species